rnacentral:misc_RNA from 1 species
UUUCCGUAGGUGAACCUGCGGAAGGAUCAUUAACGAAUAACUAUGGUGUCUUGGUUGUCGCUGGCUCCUCGGAGCAUCGUGCACGCCCGCCAUUUUUAUCUAUCCACCUGUGCACCGGAUGUAGGUCUGGAUGACUCUCGUCUCCGGGCGGAUGCGAGGUUUGCGUGUGCGCAGCGCGUUCGCGCGCGUUGCGUACGGGCUCACCUCGAAUUUCCAGACUCUACGUCUUUUUACACACCCCAAACGUAUGAUGCAGAAUGUAGUCAAUGGGCCUUUAAAAGCCUAUAAAACACUAUACAACUUUCAGCAACGGAUCUCUUGGCUCUC